rnacentral:rRNA from 1 species
GACGUAGGGCGCGAGCGUUGUCCGGAUUUAUUGGGCGUAAAGAGCUCGUAGGCGGCCUGUUGCGUCCGCUGUGAAAUCCCGGGGCUUAACCUCGGGCGUGCAGUGGAUACGGGCAGGCUGGAGGCAGGCAGGGGAGAACGGAAUUCCCGGUGUAGCGGUGAAAUGCGCAGAUAUCGGGAGGAACACCGGUGGCGAAGGCGGUUCUCUGGGCCUGUACUGACGCUGAGGAGCGAAAGCGUGGGGAGCGAACAGG